AAAGGAGAAGAAAGUUCUCUGUCCCUAGCUCAUCAGGGAGCACCUCCAGGGUAAUCCCACUCUCAGAGAAACAGAGAUGAGUCACCAGAAAGCCACAUUCUUUAGUUGUUCAAGGCCAACUUCCUAGCCUGAAUGAGAAUCUGUCCAAGCCAGCAGCUGCUUCAGGACGAGAAACCCUUCCCUGUUCCAGUCCAUAACACAUGUGGCUAAGAAUGGAUCAAGUCUGCCUUCAGGAGGGCCACACACAAGUCUAGCUCACACAUCAUCUAGCCCUGCUGUCUGCCUAGGAUGUAGGACAUGGGGCCUCAUGGAUUUAUAUUGUAUGAGUUGGCAGCACGUGGAAGCUAAUCAAAAUGAAACAUACAUAUGGCAAAUUACAUCCUGGAUUUUCCGGAACAACUGAAAUUUCAAAUAAUUUUGAUGUCGCCCCUACAAUUACAAUUUUGGGAUCAAAUCUCCUGAUUUGGGCUUCAGAGAAUGCAAUGCCAACAGGGAUGAUGCAGACGUGAAGACUAAGUCAAACUACGAGAGAUCUCAUAAACCAUUUAUAAAACAAAUGCAGAGAGAGAAGGCUGAGUGCUCUCUGCAGGGAACUCUACAGUCUACAACCAGAAUUUAGGACUCCCUAAUACCUAUUUCUCUCUGCCAAGUAUCUUGGACCCAAACUCCAGUGGCCUCUGAAAACUGAGACCUCUCUGAUCUCCAAGAAUAGACAAACUUGUGCAACAAGAGCUUUGAAGCAAGCAACUAUUGAGAGAUCAAAAGUCUAACCCACUUGGAGAAAAGAACAACAUCUCCCAAUCCUGAGUCUCGUGACCACCGCCCUAUAAUAAAUCACGUGUAGUUAUGCUACACACCCCUCAAA